rnacentral:rRNA from 1 species
AGGGGAACUGGGGAGGCACGAUCAUCACCCUGUGCACAUACCUAAACUAUGCUUCGGCGGGAACAGACGGCCCCGUGAAACGGGCCGCCCCCGCCAGAGGACCCCUAACUCUGUUUCUAUAAUGUUUCUUCUGAGUAAAACAAGCAAAUAAAUUAAAACUUUCAACAACGGAUCUCUUGGCUCUGGCAUCGAUGAAGAACGCAGCGAAAUGCGAUAAGUAAUGUGAAUUGCAGAAUUCAGUGAAUCAUCGAAUCUUUGAACGCACAUUGCGCCCGCCAGUAUUCUGGCGGGCAUGCCUGUUCGAGCGUCAUUACAACCCUCAGGCCCCCGGGCCUGGCGUUGGGGAUCGGCGGAGCCCCCCGUGGGCACACGCCGUCCCCCAAAUACAGUGGCGGUCCCGCCGCAGCUUCCAUCGCGUAGUAGCUAACACCUCGCGACUGGAGAGCGGCGCGGCCACGCCGUAAAACACCCAACUCUUCUGAAGUUGACCUCGAAUCAGGUAGGAAUACCCGCUGAACUUAAGCAUAUCAAUAACCGGAGGAA